rnacentral:rRNA from 1 species
GAUGAACGCUGGCGGCGUGCCUAAUACAUGCAAGUCGAGCGAACGGACGAGAAGCUUGCUUUUCUGAUGUUAGCGGCGGACGGGUGAGUAACACGUGGAUAACCUACCUAUAAGACUGGGAUAACUUCGGGAAACCGGAGCUAAUACCGGAUAAUAUUUUGAACCGCAUGGUUCAAAAGUGAAAGACGGUCUUGCUGUCACUUAUAGAUGGAUCCGCGCUGCAUUAGCUAGUUGGUAAGGUAACGGCUUACCAAGGCAACGAUGCAUAGCCGACCUGAGAGGGUGAUCGGCCACACUGGAACUGAGACACGGUCCAGACUCCUACGGGAGGCAGCAGUAGGGAAUCUUCCGCAAGGGGCGAAAGCCUGACGGAGCAACGCCGCGUGAGUGAUGAAGGUCUUCGGAUCGUAAAACUCUGUUAUUAGGGAAGAACAUAUGUGUAAGUAACUGUGCACAUCUUGACGGUACCUAAGCAGAAAACCACGGCGAACUACGU